GGUGGGAAGGUCUCGAGGAAUCCUCCGAGCCCGCCGCGUGGGUAUGAAGGCCUUCAGGUUGUAAGGCCCUGUCCGUGGGAAGAACCGCUGUCUGGCCGAUUCCCUGGACUGCUGUGCCUGAACCACCAAAGGAAGCCCCGGCAUAAUUCCUGGCCACCACCCGGGGGUAUAAAAA
rnacentral:rRNA from 1 species